GAGACUGCCAGUGAUAAACUGGAGGAAGGUGGGGAUGACGUCAAGUCAUCAUGGCCCUUACGACCAGGGCUACACACGUGCUACAAUGGCGCAUACAAAGAGAAGCGACCUCGCGAGAGCAAGCGGACCUCAUAAAGUGCGUCGUAGUCCGGAUUGGAGUCUGCAACUCGACUCCAUGAAGUCGGAAUCGCUAGUAAUCGUGGAUCAGAAUGCCACGGUGAAUACGUUCCCGGGCCUUGUACACACCGCCCGUCACACCAUGGGAGUGGGUUGCAAAAGAAGUAGGUAGCUUAACCUUCGGGAGGGCGCUUACCACUUUGUGAUUCAUGACUGGGG
rnacentral:rRNA from 1 species